ensembl:lncRNA
AAACAAAAAAAACACGCAGUGCUCGAACUUGACCUCGCUUCUGCUGGCAAGCCGGUGCCGUUUUCCCCGUCCCCUGCUCCCAGAGCACCGGCAAACAAAGCCUCGGCCACGGGGGAACCGGGCGGAGGGGGAGGCGAUGGUGGCGAGGUCCCCCUGCCAGGAGGGGACCUUCGCCGCCGUCCUGCCCAUUCGCCCCGGUCCUGCCCAUUUCAGGCGCUUCGCAAACUGAAUUUAACAAAAUCAGCAUCUUUGCCGGGCAAAGUAGAGCCUGUGCGCCCUCACAACUAACUAAUUAAACGUGGGGUCGAAAUUGACGGAAAAAAAAAUCCCUUGAAAGAGCCCUUUCAAGCAUUUUUUAAAAAUAUGACCCCUUAACCUCUUCUUCCCCGAUUGACAGAGUAAUUUGAAGCAGCAACAGUGCAAUCUAUCAAAAUAAGUUGUGUUACUCCUGUAAAUCAGAUAUCGAUGUUUGAGCUUUCUCCCGCUGACAAGCUGUAAAGGCUCCCUGUUAUUCCCUGUUUUAUCUCUGAGCUUCUUGUCUUUUCUGCUCAUUAAGAGCCGGUCUACAGAUUACAAAGUCAAUAGAUGCAAACACCGGACUGUGAGAAAAAUCUCCCUGAGUACAUAAAAAUCAACAGCAGUGGAUGCUGUACAAUGGAAAGCAUAGAUGUUUGGAGGUGUGCAGGUUUACCAGCUUCAAACAAGAGCGACGAGAGCAAAUAUUGUGGCAAAGCUUCGCCUCCCAGUGUUGCGCUCUUCCUCUGGUCGUUCCUACAGGCCGAUCUUUACGCACCAUCUUAUGAUCUAUGUGCCAUUUAUAAGUGAUGUGCCGUCAACUUUAGAGGCAGAUUUAGUGAACGGUUCAGCUGAAAUAUGCUUUACAGGUGUUUUUGGGUUUCCCACGCAAAACCACAGCACUAGUUAUCAGCCAACUCCAGCGAAGUGCACCUGGGUGUGCAGCAGCAGCAGCCAUGACAAGAGGACAAACAGAAAAUCCAUACAGCAAACAGACUAGACACCUAAUAAUUCACGCGGGUAUGGAAGCAUGGAAGAGACUGGUUACCAGACUAUUCAGCACAGAGUUUAUCAGUUGUCAAGAAGAUACCUUACAGGGCAGAAGAGUUAUUCAAAAUGUCAAGGAUUCCUUUAGAGUAUCCCAUACCCUCAUUAAGGGGAACUUGCAUCACCCACCGGUAUGAGUUUGUAACUAGAAUGACUUUAUAGAGCAUUGGUAAUUAGAGCAAUUAUUUUUGUGGAGCUUCAAUAAUGCGUGCAAAUGUUACACUUUACAAUCUCAACUAACCAUGAGAAAGAUAUCAACCUGUAUGCAGAAGACAAAACAUCACUAUCUCUAUGUUAGAGAAGUCUUUUUGUUGGGUUGCAGUUUUUGAUAUAUUCCUUCUCGUAGCUGAAUUCAAGACUUUAUUCCAACUAUGUUUCUAUCAUUUUUAAGUAUCAGUUUAGUGAAUAUUUUCCUUUCAGUAUAAUUGAUACUGCAGUGAAUAUUCUUGCUUGGCUUACUAAUGUAUUAUUACUAUUACUGUUACUGUUACUGUUACUGUUACUGUUACUGUUACUGUUACUGUUACUAUUACUAUUACUAUUACUAUUACUAUUACUAUUACUAUUACUAUUACUAUUACUAUUACUAUUACUAUUACUAUUACUAUUACUAUUACUAUUACUAUUAUUGUUGUUAUGUUUUAAAAGUGCUGAAAACAAAACAUCAGAACUUCAGAGAAAACCAGUCCCUGGGCUGCCAUGCAGAAACUCAGUUUCUCAGACAUGAGAAGCAUUUUCCAUUGAAAGAAUUCAGAUUAGAGGAACAUUUCCCACUACUAAUAAGUGAAAAACAGCAUGCUUCUUAAAGCUAAGAAGUCAAAGCAAGGCGUACUAGCAUCUUAUGCUCUUGGCUGCUGUCAGGCUGGAGGUAGGUCCUACGCACAGUGGGAUCAGUCUGUUCUCUACCCCAGUCAGUCACCUUGUAUCCACCAAGAAGUUCCAAAAGUAACUUG